GUAAGCAAAUGGUGAGGGCCCAUAAUUAGGGCAGAACCAACAUCCCCCGCCCCGCAAGGAAACUCAGAAGUCUCAGCACUCGGCAGUAGCCGUUUCUCAGCAACGGUCACCUGCAGCCUCGGCAACAGCGCAGCAGUCUCAGCAGUAGCCUCCGGAAUACAGCUAAUAUAGUUCUUAAACAGCGGCAAACUGAGCAUUGUUUCCUCUCGUUCACUCUGGCAACGAGGAUGCCGAGCGUUUGCCGGAAUGGAGGUUACGGCGAGUGCUUCUCCAUUAAAAGGGUUAGCAUUUAUAUCACAACAUUAAAGGAACAAUUAGAGCAAUCAAGUGCUGAGACUACACCGAAUAGAACACACAGGGGAAUGCUAGUGGGAAAUUAUCAUAAAAAGGAGAUAACUUUGGCAUUGUUCUGUUAAAGUUUUUUUGAUGACAAUGAGGAGAGGUUCUGUUAACAAUGGAUUUGUUUGGUUGCCCCUUGUCGUGCACACAGCCGUAGCCACCAGAGGCUAGAAAGGCUGUUCCUACUGUCUUUCUACUUCUCUUGCGCUUCUGUGUCUCUCCCUCUAUGCCUCUCACUGUCACUAUUUGCGAGAUAGAGAGGUGAACAUACUUCUUCGUCCUAUCCGUGGAAAGCUUGGGCACUAGAACUCCUCUAAUUCAACUUGUCGUUCCAAGAAGCAAGCAUACUUCUUCCUUCUUGUGGACCCUUGGAUGAUUGUUUGAAGCUGUUGAGAGGCCAGUGGGACGAGCAAAAGCUGGUCGGUCUCCUCACCUCAAAAAUCUGUCAUGGGGACGACACAACUGCUGUUCUAAAGGUCUAUGAUGCUGUCGGUGCUUGUUUUCUUCAGAGACUCAUCUUAACUGGUAUGGGAAAGGGAUCUGGUGGGUUUGGUAGCGCCGAGGAUAAAGGGCCAUAUUUGAGGCUCUCCAUCACCCUUCUUACUGCAUUGUGUCAGGUGCCAGAAAUUGCUUCAUAUGAGGAAAUGGUCUCUAAAGUUCCUCUUGUAGCUGAAAUAGUUACAAAAUCGUCUGACCCUUGUCGCUGUUGCUUCGGAUAGUGGAAGAGCAAAGUUUUAUCAACCUGGAGUCAAUUACCUGUUGCUCUUGCUUUGGAUGCAGGUCUGACCCUUUUUUUGAAUACUCUAAAUGGGACAAUACUUUUAUCUUGCGGUAGUCAAUUACUCAAGGAAUUCUAUAUUUUUGGAGUUUUCUUUUCCCUUCAUUUACCGUGUUAUGUUGAGGUGGAACACACUAUCAUCAAUUAAUUUUGUAAUGCCUUGUUUCUGCUCCAAAUGUUCUGUAGGGUCUCGACUACAAAAAAAAUGAAAAGGCGCGGUAUUUAAUGUACAUGAUCAAAUGCUUGGUUUAAUGUAGUAAGACAUUUAAUAAGCUGCAGGCGUUCUCCGCUUUGGAACGUGAGCACGUCAAACCACCUUAAAUGCAGGGGUGUGCUGGCGACGUUUUUAACAUCAAUUUUAAUCAACGGUGAAGGUAUGAUGACAUAUUUUUUACUUCUAGAUCCAACAGUUAUCUUAGAAUACCACGGAGAAUGAAAAGUCAUUUCUUAAGUUAUCCUUGCCAAAGCUUUUAAUGGUGGCGAUUUGAUGGUGACUGUUUUUGUCUAGCACACUCAUCGGAUGGUAGAGAGAAGAUCCCUACAAUUGAUGAGAAAUUGUGCGAUACUGCCAUCAUAGUCUUCUACUUCUCGUAACUAUUUUUGCUGCCUUUCACUGUUGUGUUAUUGCGCUCUUCUCCUUUCUCCAUCGUUUGUGCCUUCUGUCCUUGUAAAGAUAAGUAAGUUGUGACUCCUUCAACUGAAUUUUUCCCUCCUUUCUCUGCUCUUCCGCUUCCUUCUUUUAUCCUUUGCAACUAUGACUGUUCGUAGAUCCUUCAUUAGGUGGUAUGAGACUCAAUGGGUGAUUUUCCCUGAGGUUGCAGGACCAAACUAUGGGAGCUUUACGCCAUUUCGUUAGACAAUGAGAUUAGGAUUCCCCAACGAGAUCAUCGACAUAACAUUCCUCCUCCCGGUUUUACUACUUUCUUCUAUGGUCAAUUGAUAGGCGGUUCAAGGUUUCCCAUUCCCUCUAUACAAGAUUUAGCUCAUUAUUUUUGUAUCUCCUUAUCUCAUCUACAUCCACCGUAUGAUUUGCUGCAUAUCCAUCAACUUCCGGAUAUAUGACAUUCCCCUUAACGAAGUUAUCUUCCUAUAUCUUUUUUACAUUCAGCCUGCCGAACCUGGAACCUUCAUUUUACUGCCAGGAAUAAAUGUAAAUUUUUGGGUGACUGUCCAACUUCCAACAAAGCAUGGAAAGAUCGAUUCUUUUUCACUAAACUACCUAAACCCUAUAUUUAACCUACUCUCUCGCUCGACGAACUCCACAAUCAACUUAAGCUGGGAGACUACAAAUCGGAGACAGUGUACUUGGAGACGACCUUCAUUUUUAAGGACCUAAUAUUCAACGCAAUCCUCUUGGUGAAAAAUGAGGCGUUGCUUCAUCUGGUCGGGUUGAGCCCAAAAAAUGUAGCUUGGGUGAGGUUUUCAUGUCUAGUAGAUUUCUUUUUAUAUUAACUAUCCUUUCUUUGUCUUGCAAAGUAAACUUUGUAUGACGCUUCUAUCAGCAAGAAACUGAACUGGGAGUUAGACUUCCCAGCGACCUGCUCAUGUUGAUGAAUAAAGCUAGGGAGUCUCAUUAGGUGUUAGUUUCUCUUCCUUCUCUUGUAUCCAACAUUGUUAAUAGUGAGGGUUUGAGUCAAUCGCUGAUACCGUCAUUCAUGUGAUGCUAUAUUCUCCGGUAAUCGCAACUUCUACCCAAAUGAAUGAUCUAACAGAGUCACUUGAGACAAGUGCUCCAUUAGAGUUUUGCUCUCAGGAAAAAGGGAUGAUCAUACGACAAUCAUCCCCUCUUAAUCUUUCUGCCCCUAAUGGGAGUCAAGGGCGUAUUUACGAAGCCAAGGUCUAGGAGAAACAUCAUCGCCUCCAAAUAUAUCAUGUGGACGACCUUGCAGAGGUGGCUGCUGAAGGGGAGAGCUGUGAAGAAGAAGAAGAGAUUCGUUAGACCAAUUAAAGGGCAUGCUUCAAUGCCUUCCUUCAGGAAGAGUGACCCUCCUUUAGCGGGGGAAAUUCGCCUUAUCCUCAAAGACACAACUCCGGAGAAGCAUUGUCAAAUGCGGAAGCGAGAGCUAGGGAUAACCCCUCAAGCCACUAGCCAAUCGCUUCCUCUCCCCCAUAUGCCAACUAAGUUAGAGGCUUUAGAUAUUGGUCAGAUGUCUCCUCCUGUCGACGCUGAACAAAGUUCCCCCUCUAACUUGGCCUCUCUCAGACUUGAGGCAGCCAAUAGACAGAGGGGACUCAAUCCCUCUCUUGAAGAGCAAUUGAAAUAUUAUAAGGAGGUUCUGAUACCUAGCAUGAGUAUUCUUAAGCUAAUGGAAUGCUCAACUUUCUUUGAUCGGAAGGUAUCACAUCCUCCUUAUAAUAUUUUAAUUGCUCUUCAAGAGAGGGGCUGAGCCCCUUUUGUUUGUCGGUUGCCUUAAGUUUGAGAGAAGCUAAGUUAGAGGAGGAAUCCUGUUCAGCGUCGAUAGGAGGAGACACCUGACCCAUGCCUAAAGCCUUUGUCUCAGUUGGCACAUAGGGGAGAGGAGGUGAUUUACUUGUGGGUUGAGGGAUUAUCCUUAGUUCUCGCUCCCGCAUUUGACAACGCAUCUCCCGAGUUAUGUCUUUGAGGGUAAGGUGAAUUUCUCUCGCUGAAGGAGGGUCACUCUUCCUAAGGAAGGUGUUGAAGCAAGCUCUUUGAGGGGUCUAACAGGAUCAUCUUAUUCUUUGCAGCUCCUGCUUCAACCACCUCUGCAAGGUCAUCCAUAAGAGAUAUUUGGCCUCCAGACUCUCGAUAAUGUUUCUCCUUGACCUUGACUUCGUGAAUCUGCACUUGACUCCCACCAGGGGUAGAAAGGUUAGGAGGAGAUGAUUGUCGUAGGACUAACCUUUUUCCCUGAGAGCGAAACUCUGAUGGAGCUCUUGUCUCAGGUGACUCCGUUAGAUAAGUCGCAUAGGUAGAAGCUGUGAUUGUCAGAGAAUAAAGCAUCGCAUGAGUGGCGGUAUUGGGGCUAACUCAGACCCUUCACUAUUAAUGAUGUCGGACACUAGAGAAGGAAGAUAAACUAGCGCCUAAUAAGACACUCACCUUUAUCCAUCGACAUGAGCUGGUCGCUGUUGGAUGUCAACUCCCAGUUCAGUUUCUUGCUGAUGGAAGUGUCAUAUAAAGUUUUAUUUGCAAUACAAAGAAAGGAUAAUUAAUACAUAAAGAAAAUUACUAGAUAUGAAAAUCUCACCCAAGCUGUCAGUCAGCGGCAUAUUUUUUGGGCUGAACCCGACUGAACCCGACCAGAUGAAGCAACGCCUCAUUCUCCACCAAGAGGAUGACGUUCAACAUUAGGUCCUUAAGAAUGAAGGUCGUCUCUAAGUACACUGGCUCCGAUUUGUUGUCUCCCAUCUUAAAUUAUUGUGGAGUUCGUCGAGCCAGAGAGUAGACCAAGUAUAGGGUUUAGGUCGUUUAAUGAAAAAGAAUCGAUCUUUCCAUGCUUUGUUGGAGGUUGGACAGUCACCCAAAAAUUUACAUUUAUUCCUGGUAGUAAAAUGAAGGUUCCAGGUUCGGGAGGCCGAAUGUAAAAAUGAUAAUGGAAGAUAACUUUGUUAAGGGGAAUGUCAUAUAUCCGGAAGAUGAUGGAUGCGCCGCAAAUCAUACGGCAGGAGUUGGGUUGCUGUUGAGAUACCGAAAUAAUGAGCUAAAUCUUGUAUGGAGGGGAUGGGAAAUCGUAAGCCGCCUAUCAAUUGACCAUAGAAGAAAGUAGUAAAAUCGGGAGGAGGAAUGUUAGGUCGAUGAUCUCGUCGGGGAAUCCUAAUCUCAUGGUCUAACGGAAUGAUGUAAAGCUCCCGUAGUUUGGGUCUUGCAGCUUCAAGGAGAAUCGUCCAUUGAGUCACAUACCAUCUGAUGGAGGAUCUACUAGCAAUCAUAGUUGUAGAGGAAAAAAAAGCGGAAGAGUAGAGAAAUGGAGGGAAAAAUCCAGUUGAAGGAGUCACAACCUACUUAUCUUUGCAGGGAUAGAAGACAAAAGAUGGAGAAAGGUGAAGAGCGCAAGAACACAAUAGUGAAAGGUAGCGAAAAUAGUUAGAAGAAGGCUAACGGUGGUAUUGCAGGGAUCUUCCUACCUUCUGAUGAGUGUGCUAGACAAAAACAACCACCAUCAAAUCACCACCAUUAAAAACAUUGGUAGGGAUAAUUUACGAGGUGACUUUUCAUUUUCCGUGGUAUUCUAAGAUGACUAUUGGAUCUAGAAGUAAAAAAGGUGUCACUAUACCUCACCAUUAGAUUAAAAUUGACGUUAAAAAUGUUGCCAGCACACACCCCUGCAUUUAAGGCGGUUCGGCGUGCUCGUGGCCCAAAGCGGAGAGCGCAUGCAGCUCAUGAAAUGCUUUACCACAUUAAAUUACCAAGUAUUUGAUCAUGUACAUUAAAUACCGCACUUUUUCAUUUCUUUUGUAGCCGAGACCCCACAUAAUAUUCGGAGCAGAACCGAUGCAUUACAAAAUUAAUUGACGAUAGUGUGUUACGCCUCAGCAUAACACAAUAUAUGAAGAAAAAAAAGAAUUCCAAAAAUAUAGAGUUCUUGGAUUAAUUGACUAUCAUAAGAUAAAAGUACUGUCCCACCUAGAGUAUUAAAAAAAAACAACAAAGCAUAAAGCUUACUUAUCUACUUUAAAGGGCAAAUACAGAGUUCUACAAGAAGUAGGUAGGAGUGUAAUGGAGAUAAACCCUUUAUUGAUACGAUAGAAUCUAGAGUUGUCGCAAGAUCCAUUAAAAGAGGUUCACAAAAGAAAUCACAAUUUUUAUGAUAAAAUCUGAUGUAAGCCUAGCAGAACCAUUGGAUUAAAGUUUUCUAAGCCUUUUUCAGCAAGAAUUCUUGAUCAGACUAGAUCAUGAAAUUAGGUUAUGGAUGCGAUUUUAACUUGGUAAGUUGUAUCCAUCGGGUUUAAGCAGAGCUACCGGUGAUAUGCCAUAUAACAAUUUGAAGUAAUCUCAGAUGAACACUAUGUAAUUCUGAGUAUCAAAGAUUCAAAGCUAUUUUUAGGAAAUUUAUCUGAUAUAUCUCAUUAUCUUAGUAACCAAUGAUUGUACUAAUCCAACAUUUUCUUAGCCUUUGAUAUCAACAUAAUUGAUAAUGCCCAUUUGAUUCAAUUAAUUAAUCAAUAGGGUCAACUUAUUUCAGUCAGAUAGGAGAUAGGUUGACUUUGGGUCGACCAAUAGCCUUCAUCUUAGUUGGAGUCAAUUUACCAAGUUUAAGACGUCCCUUGAAUGAUGCAAGCGGAGAGGAUACAUUCAAUGUCCUAUAGCAGGAUUUAGUCAGCAUGGUUAUAAAGAAUUUCAGAAGUAGUGCCUACAAGCUAAUUUAGGCAAAUUAUCUAGGACAUUGGUUGCCUUUUCCAUUUCGUUUUUUUUAAUGAGCGGUCUUAAAUGGUGAUGGUGAAAAGCACAAUCAAUUGACAUGACAUAUUAAAUAUUAUGUACAAAGUAUUAAUGAAAGAUAAUUAGCAAAGAAACAUAAUGUGCACUACUUUCUGCCCUCAGUCUCUAACACUGUCUUUCUGGCUUUCUGCCCUCCUUUAUUCUUUCAAUAGAAUGGUUGAGUCUCUCUAUUGAUAUCAAUAGCCUGCUCCUUUGCUUGGGGGAGGCAUGUAGUG